UACGUAGGGGGCAAGCGUUGUCCGGAAUCAUUGGGCGUAAAGAGCGCGUAGGCGGCCCGGUAAGUCCGCUGUGAAAGUCAAGGGCUUAACCCUUGAAUGCCGGUGGAAACUGCCGGGCUAGAGUCCGGAAGAGGCGAGUGGAAUUCCUGGUGUAGCGGUGAAAUGCGCAGAUAUCAGGAGGAACACCAAUGGCGAAGGCAGCUCGCUGGGACGGUACUGACACUGAGGCGCGAAAGCGUGGGGAGCGAACAGG
rnacentral:rRNA from 1 species